CGCGUAGGCGGUUUUUUAAGUCAGAUGUGAAAUACCAGAGCUCAACUUUGGUGCUGCAUUUGAAACUGGAGAACUUGAGGGUUGGCGGAGAAAACGGAAUUCCACAUGUAGCGGUAGAAAUGCGUAGAUAUGUGGAAGAACACCUGUGGCGAAGUCGGUUUUCUAGCUAAUACCUGACGCUGAGGCGCGAGAAGGGCAACGGGAAGCGAAACUAG
rnacentral:rRNA from 1 species